GCUUCUGCUCACGGUUUCCGUCAUCUAAUCAGCGUCAUAAUCAGCAAUAUCCGCUGUGAUAGAUAGAAAAAAGAUCCGGAAUGUGCAUCAUGGGAAAAAUUACAAUGGAGCGCCAUCGGUGUCCCAGCCGCAACGGUAGCAUAACCGGAGAAUGAAGCCGUCACUAAUGAGAGUAUUGAAACAAUAGCAAAUCCAGAGGAGAGCAGUGCUUCACCUUUAACGCCGGAAACCAAUACCUUUUUCAACUUUCACGCCAGCAUAUAAGAUCGAGAAGAAUCAAUAACAAAUAUUUGCCUCAAAUUGAGCCAUGAAGGAUGGUCUCUUUGAGGCUAAGAAAUUAUGUGACCAGCUAUUACUCACUGAAUAAGUCACAGGGCCAAUGAAUAGAGUCAGGAUUAAAUGCAAAAAAUAUGAAUUCACAAUUGGGUGUUCGACUUCAUCAGACUACCGCUGAGAUAAGGCGAGCAACAGCUGAGGCAGGGACUAUGAGGUGUGCCCCUGGAAAGACAAGAAUUUACAGUUACCGAUUGCACUUUAAUGAAGGCUUAGGACACACUGGUCACUGGUUGUUUGCUAUAAGACUUAAGAUGGCACUGAAAAAAAUGCAGUUUAAUGUAUUAAUUAUAAUAU